GAUGAAGAACGUAGCGAAACGCGAUAGUUAAUGUGAAUUGCAGAAUUCAGUGAAUCAUCGAGUCUUUGAACGCACAUUGCGCCCAUUGGUAUUCCGUUGGGCAUGUCUGUUUGAGCGUCAUUACAACAGUUCAGCGUAAGCUGGUUAUGAGUUCUGUUUUUUUAAACAAAAAACAGGCUUUAAAAUGUAUGUUCUGCAGGUCGCUUUGCUAAACCCUAAACAUUAAAUACUGUUCUAGUGAAGCAUUUGCGACUCUGCCUGAAAAAAAACUUUUGUUAAAGUUUGACCUCAGAUCAGACAAGGAUACCCGCUGAACUUAAGCAUUUCAAUAAGCGGAGGA
rnacentral:misc_RNA from 1 species